GAAGGGUGCAAGCGUUACUCGGAAUUACUGGGCGUAAAGCGUGCGUAGGCGGUUUGUUAAGUCUGUCGUGAAAGCCCCGGGCUCAACCUGGGAAUGGCGAUGGAUACUGGCGAGCUAGAGUACGGUAGAGGAGAGUGGAAUUCCCGGUGUAGCAGUGAAAUGCGUAGAGAUCGGGAGGAACAUCAGUUGCGAAGGCGGCUCUCUGGACCAGUACUGACGCUGAGGCACGAAAGCGUGGGGAGCAAACAGGAUUAGAUACCCUGGUAGUCCACGCCCUAAACGAUGCGAACUGGACGUUGGGAGCAAUUAGGCUCUCAGUGUCGAAGCUAACGCGUUAAGUUCGCCGCCUGGGGAGUACGGUCGCAAGACUG
rnacentral:rRNA from 1 species